CCGGGAAGAUUCGACGGCUCUAACAUAAUAGGCGGCUGACGAUUCCGUGCUAACAGCCGCCGGAUAACUACGUGCCCGCGGCCGCGUCAAUACGUAUGGUGCUAGCGGUAAUCGAAGUUACUGGGCGUAACGCGUGCGCAAGCCUUUUUCUAAGACUGAUGUGAAAUCCCCGGACUUAACCUGUGAACUGCGUUUGAGGCUGCUGGACUUGAGUACGGAAAAGGGAAAUGGAAUUACACGUGUAACAGUGAAAUGGGUAGAGAUGGCGACCAGCUCCGAUGCUGAAGGCGGCCCCCUGAACCUGGACUGGCACUCAUGAUUAAAAGCGUGGGGAGCCAACACGAUUAAAUACCCUGGCAGUCCACGCCCUAAACGAUGUCCACUAGGUGUUGGGAGCGUUGAUGCUCUGACUGCCGGGCUAACGCGUGAAAUGGACCGCCUGGAGAGUACUGUCGCAAGAUUUAA
rnacentral:rRNA from 1 species